rfam:Japanese encephalitis virus isolate 10S3, complete genome
AUGACUAAAAAACCAGGAGGGCCCGGAAAAAACCGGGCCAUCAAUAUG